UGUAUAAAGAAUAUAUACAUUUUGAAUUUUAGAUUAAAAACAUUUUCUGUCUGUAUAUAUUUUCUACCCAGAACUUCUCAGGUGUCAUAAUAGUUUUAGUUUCACCCGGUUCAAAUUCUGUACAUGUGACGUCACACUUCCGGGAAUUUUGUAACUGGCAGCCGCUUCAAAGGUAUCCGUUAACCGUCAUGACAGUUGCUAUGACAACAAUAAACAAGCCACAAGCUUAGAACUAGCUCUCGCCUUGUUCCUAUCUACUUAUAAACAAUAAACUGGAUCCAGUAACAGAGCGAUCUUCAGCCUCCUUCAGUGCAGCUGACGCUUCCUGGCAGUGAAUUUGACGGAGCAGUCAGUCACAUUGUUCAGCUGUCACACACUCCAGGACGUCGUCGGCACAAAACUGAAAAUGUAUGAAGGAUGCAUAAAGAAAAACUGUGGCUAAUGCAUCUGCAGGAAAAAGCUUGAGAAUGGCUUGAUGGACUGAGACGAGCCACGGCAGACUUUUCAGGAAACAGCUCAAUUUUACCCAGGCAGGCUGGAGCUGAUGGGGGGUGUAAAGUUUGAUUACAAUCACAGCUGCUGACAAGAUGCGAGGAGAUGGACGUAAACAAGGACAUUAAACUGAAACAUUAUUGAGCUUGUGGCUGUAUGUUACACAGCCUUCGGUUCCUGCUAUACUUCUGCUACUUAAGUGGUUUAAUGAUUGUACGGAAAAUCUCAGAAGAAAGCCAUGCAUGACAACAGAGAUUUAUUUCGUCAGAGCUGCAGCUGCAAUUAGUCACAGCCGAAUGUGCUCUGUUCCCUCAGAUAAUCUCGAAAUCGUUGACAUUUAGUGUCAGCUCCCGUACAUUUUCCUCCGAGUGUUUGGAGAAAGUGAAGGCAGGAGCCGGAGCCACCGGAGGGAGGAGAGAGGUAGGCGUAAUCAGUCUAAACACCAGCUAAUUAGAGCAGCAGUCGUAUUUCUUUAGUCAGGUGGGUGUAAGAACGAGGCAACCGAAGUGAAGUCAACACCAAAACAGCUACAUGGAGGUAUGGUUGGAGGCUUUAUGAAACCUGUAUGAAAUUAAUUAUAAAAAUGACACACUGCUUUAUUUUUCACACAUUUUUCAAUUUAUGCAUGAUGUGAACUGUUAGCAUGCAGAGAAGACAUAAAUAGAUCAAGAUCUGAAACACCUCAAAGCAUUAUUUUUAAAUACUUUAUUUCCCCUGACUACCUAAAUUAAUACCAGACUAAACUUUUCCUGUUUGAAUUCAGUCAGGAGGUCAAAAUGAUUUCCACGCUGCAAAAACACAAACUUUUACCGAGUAUUUUUGGUCUAGUUUCUAUUGAGAAUAUCUUAUUACGCUUGAAAUCAGACAUAAUAACCCACAAGUAACUUUUCAGCAUCAUAUAUGAGCUUGUUUUAAGUAAAUCGUUCCUUAAUAUUGAUGAAAAAGUUCUAGUUCCACUGGCAGACCAUUUCAUUUACAACAAGAUAUGUUUCCCAUGUUAUACGUGAAAUAAUCUGAUCAAUAUGAAUGAAUUAUUUACUUAAAAAACGUAUAUCUUGCUUAAAAGUUACUUGAAAGUUAGUUUUGACUUAUUAGA